rnacentral:tRNA from 1 species
CAAAAAGUAGUAUAAUAACGAUUACAUUUCGCUUACACCGAGAUAAAGGUACACACCCUUUUUGA